AGGUAGGACGUGUCGGCUGC
rnacentral:sRNA from 1 species